rnacentral:rRNA from 1 species
GAUGAACGCUGGCGGCGUGCCUAAUACAUGCAAGUCGAGCGAACAGACGAGGAGCUUGCUCCUCUGACGUUAGCGGCGGACGGGUGAGUAACACGUGGAUAACCUACCUAUAAGACUGGGAUAACUUCGGGAAACCGGAGCUAAUACCGGAUAAUAUAUUCAACCGCAUGGUUCAAUAGUGAAAGACGGUUUUGCUGUCACUUAUAGAUGGUUCCGCGCCGCAUUAGCUAGUUGGUAAGGUAACGGCUUACCAAGGCAACGAUGCGUAGCCGACCUGAGAGGGUGAUCGGCCACACUGGAACUGAGACACGGUCCAGACUCCUACGGGAGGCAGCAGUAGGGAAUCUUCCGCAAUGGGCGAAAGCCUGACGGAGCAACGCCGCGUGAGUGAUGAAGGUCUUCGGAUCGUAAAACUCUGUUAUUAGGGAAGAACAAAUGUGUAAGUAACUAUGCACGUCUUGACGGUACCUAAUCAAAAAGCCACGGCUAACUACGUG